GUGGGAGUGUCUUUAAUAAUGAUCUGUGAGGAUGGCCUGGUGCGGUAGCUCACUGCCUAUAAUCCCAGCACUUUGGGAGGCCAAGGAGGGCGGAUCACGAGGUCAGGAGAUCGAGACCAUCCUGGCUAACAAGCUGGAAGCAAAGGGUUCCAUGACAUCAGAACCACAUGAAGGAAGGAAUCAGAGUCCUUCAGCUGUUGCUCUCCUGGAGGACAGCCACUAUGAGAGCCCCAGAGCUAUAUAGAACUGUGACACAGACUGGAAACAAACUUCAAUCAUGUUGAACCACUAAGAUAUAAGGACAUUGGCUAGUGUAAAUUAUUCAGACUAAUUUUAAAAAUAAAUUAAUUAAAAAAAAUUCUUGCACAGCUAGGGAAAUAAUCAAUGAAAUGAAAAGGCAACCUAUGGAAUAGAAGAAGACAUUUGCAACCCAAAUAUCUGAUAAGGGGUUAAUUUCCAAAAUAUAUGAGUAAAUCAUAUAACUCAAUAACAAAAACAAAGAAACAAACACAAAAAACUCGAUUAAAAAUUGUGAAAGGACCUCAAUAGAUAUUUUUCCAAUGAAAAUAUACAAAUGGCCAGUAGAUUCAUGAAAUGGUGCUCAACAUCACUAACCGUCAGGGAAAUACAAACCAAAACCACAAGAUAUGACCUCACACCUGUUAGAAUGGCUAUUACCGAAAAGACAAGUGGUAACAAGUGCUGACAAGGAUAUGGAUAAAGGGAUUCCUUGUGAGCCGUUGGAGGGAAUGUAAAUUGUACUGCCAUUAUGGAAAACAAUAAAGAGGUUUAUCAAAAAAUUAAUCAAGUUAA